rnacentral:rRNA from 1 species
GACGAACCGUGCGAGCGUUGUUCGGAAUCACUGGGCUUAAAGGGCGCGUAGGCGGGCGACCAAGUCAGGGGUGAAAUCCUCCGGCUCAACCGGAGAACAGCCUUUGAUACUGGUCACCUCGAGGGAGGUAGGGGCAUGUGGAACUUCCGGUGGAGCGGUGAAAUGCGUUGAUAUCGGAAGGAACGCCGGUGGCGAAAGCGGCGUGCUGGACCGCUUCUGACGCUGAGGCGCGAAAGCGAGGGGAGCAAACAGG